UGACCUCUGUGCUAAGUGCUCAUUCCUGGAACAGGAAGCAUUUCAAGAGAGACUUGAGUGGAAGUGUUCCUGAUGCUAAUGGCACAGGAGGAGCUGGGGCAUUUGGGCAGAUGGCCUGGCAUCACAAAGGGGUGCGUGUCAGCCAUUGUCCUGUCUGCAGGGAUGGGUGGAAAAGCAUCCUGCAGGGCUGCGGAAGGGGAAAAGAGUGAAGAAUUACUUACUGUCAGCUGAGGUUUGGGAGGGUCACCAAGCUUAAGAAGGUACAUCUAGAAUCAAGUUAAGUCUAAAACUAAUCUGUGUGGCAAAUGGUCAAUGCAAAGCCUGGCUGUUACCACAAGGGAGGGCAAUCUCAAAGCAAGCUGGUUCCAAAUCACUUGCAAAUCCAAGGGCAGAACAGUUCAGGGAAGUUCAACAGGAAGCGGGCCGGGAGUAAUACAGAAGCCAGCAAACGCAACCUGCACGUCUCGUCUUUACCCAGCCCCUACCAUUUAGGAGAUGAGCAUCCUGAGGGAGAAGGAGCCUGGCACCUCAGUAAGGACCUGUGGUUCAGUGUAACUAGACAGGGUUCUGGAUGGUGAGAGGUGGUGUUAGUGACGGAGGAGCAGGGCCACAUGAAGAGCUUUGAUUAACAUGCAUCUGAAGGCCAAGGGUGGACAUGUGUACAAGUGCCAGUGGAAAAUGGCUUUUCUGGAAUAUCAGGUUUGGUCCUAAGAGACUAAGGGCACUCCACGUGGUGAGCAAUAAAUCUGGAUUCUGCUGUGUUUAAUUAAGCGUGUCACCAGCAUGGAAUGCGACCAUGGAUUGGCCUGUGACGAGCCUCCUUCUCCUAGAGAGAGAAGUUCUAGCCUCGUCUUCUGCUCCUGUGGAGUUUUCCAUUGCUUGGAAAUGGUUUGUAAGGUGAUGGAGUCCCAUGGAUGCCAGCUGGCAAAGGAAGAUCAGAGAAGGAGGAGAAGUUGAGUCAGUGGAGGGGAAAGAUUGCUGGAUGAUAUUUUCUUCACAGCUGUAGUGUCAAUAAAUAAAGACUUUGAUCACCCA
rnacentral:lncRNA from 1 species